rnacentral:misc_RNA from 1 species
AAGUCGUAACAAGGUUUCCGUAGGUGAACCUGCGGAAGGAUCAUUAACACGUUAUCCACGUCAACCUUCGUGAACCGAUUUUGUUUUAGGGGGAUGCAGGAUAUCCUCCGUCACCGUACGACCUUUUUUUCAUUAAAAAGGAAACGGCGGUGACAUGACUUUAUUAACCUUUCUAACAAAUUGUACUAAACUUUGAGUGGGAAUUGCGAAAGCAUAUUCCUUACACUCUUCAUUACAAAACAUUAGAACAACUCUUAGCAACGGAUAUCUUGGUUCUC